ACUAGCUCAGUCGGUAGAGCACUUGACUUUUAAUCAAGUUGUCGGGGGUUCGAAUCCCCC
rnacentral:tRNA from 2 species